rfam:Lupinus angustifolius cultivar Tanjil contig_1795, whole genome shotgun sequence.
AGGUGCAAUCAUACCAUACCAAUUCACCGGAUGCCCACAGAACUCCACAGAUAAGCGUGCUUGGGUGAGAGUAGUAUUGGGAUGGGGGACCUCCUGGGAAGUCCUCGUGUUGCACCUC